rnacentral:rRNA from 1 species
GAAGUCUGCAACUCGACUUCAUGAAGUCGGAAUCGCUAGUAAUCGCGAAUCAGCAUGUCGCGGUGAAUACGUUCUCGGGGUUUGUACACACCGCCCGUCAAACCACGAAAGUGGACAAUACCCGAAAGCGAUAGCCUAACUGCGCAAGCAGAGGGAAUCGUCUAAGGUAGGGUCGAUGAUUGGGGUUAAGUCGUAACAAGGUAUCCCUACCGGAAGGUGGGGAUGGAUCACCUCCUUUCU